GUUGACCUCGGAUCAGGUAGGGAUACCCGCUGAACUUAAGCAUAUCAAUAAGCGGAGGAAAAGAAACCAACAGG
rnacentral:rRNA from 6 species